rnacentral:rRNA from 1 species
UACGAAGGGGGCUAGCGUUGCUCGGAAUCACUGGGCGUAAAGCGCACGUAGGCGGACUCUUAAGUCAGGUGGUGAAAUCCUGGAGCUCAACUCCAGAACUGCCUUCGAUACUGAGAGUCUCGAGUCCGAGAGAGGUGAGUGGAACUGCGAGUGUAGAGGUGAAAUUCGUAGAUAUUCGCAAGAACACCAGUGGCGAAGGCGGACUCACUGGCUCGGUACUGACGCUGAGGUGCGAAAGCGUGGGGAGCAAACAGGGAUAAGAUAC